rnacentral:rRNA from 1 species
UACGGGGGGGGCAAGCGUUGUUCGGAAUUACUGGGCGUAAAGGGUUCGUAGGUGGCUCGCUAAGUCAGACGUGAAAUCCCUCGGCUUAACCGGGGAACUGCGUCUGAUACUGGAUGGCUUGAGUUUGGGAGAGGGAUGCGGAAUUCCAGGUGUAGCGGUGAAAUGCGUAGAUAUCUGGAGGAACACCGGUGGCGAAGGCGGCAUCCUGGACCAACACUGACGCUGAGUGAGCGAAAGCCAGGGGAGCAAACGGG